UACUAAGUUUCCACAAGAGGAUCUCUUUCU
rnacentral:piRNA from 1 species